AAGGUCUUCCCUAGAGGAAGA
rnacentral:snRNA from 1 species